AUGGGGAGAUUCAUCGGCAACGGUGCUGGCUCCCGUUGGUGCGCGAUGCUCCGGAUGAAUCCUCGUGGUUCAUCGGCGAGGGCACACCACCUUCGGCUUGAACGUUCCGGCAUCGUAGUCGUGCACUUCUCCCCUAGUAGAACGUCGCGACCCGUUGUGUGUCGGUCUACGGCCCGAGAGGGCGCCUGUCGCGUCGCUUCGCGCGCACGCGGCAGACCCUCGGUCGCCUGGCCGGCUGCACGACGGUACUCGCACGGUAUCGGGCCGCAACCAAUCCAUUUUUUCGAAUGUGUGUGCGUCAGGCCCGCCGCAAGCUCGGUCAGUUCUUACCCGGAGGUACGGACCUGGUGCCGUCCCCGGGCCUGGCCAGCUGUUAGCAGGCGGUGUCCUUGGACUGGCCAAGACUCGAAUUACCGGUCGGCGACGCUAUUGCUUUGGGUACUCUCAGGACCCGUCUUGAAACACGGACCAAGGAGUCUAACAUGUGCGCGAGUCAUUGGGAUGCAAAAACCUAAAGGCGAAAUGAAAGUGAAGAUCGGACUUUGUGCCGAUCGAGGGGAGGAUGGGCCGCGUUACUAUGCGGCCCCGCACUCCCGGGGCGUCUCGUUCUCAUUGCGAGAAGAGGCGC
rnacentral:rRNA from 1 species